rnacentral:lncRNA from 1 species
CCGGUCCCUGCUCUCCAGGAGCUCACGACCUAAUGAUGGAGACAACCUGAAAACAAGAGAGUACAAACAAACUACAGACGUGAUAAAUCAUCAGGAAGAAGACUCUCCUAGUAGAGGCAAUCUUCUGGAAGGUGAGAGAAUGAGAACUAACGUCACCCCGGAGAAAGGAGGUGUGUGAACACUGGGAUCCUACUGGGCUGAUGUGGUAGGAGUCGGAAAAGAACACAUUUGCUCUCCCUACUGUGUCCUCACCUUUAUCCGGUGCUUUUCAUUGGGCUUCAAAUUAAAAGCAGGCUCUGGAUUGUCCAGCAGCCUCCCCAGCAGAAUGAAUGAGAC